CUGAAAAGCGUCUGCUCAAAGUCUCAAAGUUCAACGCGUUUUCGCUUGGCCGUUCGUGGCUCGUGCGCCAGCGGCUUCGUUUUGAUUUUAUUUUGAAAUUUAUGGACGAAAAUAAAACUUUGCAUGUUGGUGGCACGUCGCAUGUCAUGUUCUGUACUCGAUUUCAGUGGGUUAUAGUUUGGUCUGUAUCCAUUAAUUUCCUUUAUUACUAUUAUAAUUAAAAUAUCAUCAGGUACAAAACUUUCUAAUACAAAUUGUGAUGGCCAAGCGAUAUUUCUAUUUAUAGAUAUUGUUAGCAUAAAAUAAAUUUAAUUAGAAAAUAUUUAGCUCUUAUUGAUUAUUAUCAGAUAUAAGCAAUGAAAAGGUUUGAUAAUAUCUUUCAAUGCUUUAAAAUAAAUGCAACAACUACCAAAUACAAAUAAUUAAGAAUUAAGUAUCAUAUAGCAUAAAUACAAGUACGUAAAAGUGCCAACAUUCCUGUUGCUCCCAAGUAAUAUAUUUUAUUACAUGCACAUUAAUUAUUACUUGCACUUGAACAGCUAAACUAAAGUUUAAGUACUCGAUUAACGCGUUUCUAAAAUGAAGUUAACCCAUUCCGAUAAUGAUAUGAUUAGUGAUUGUACUUUACUCGAAACUGCCCAUUCAAAUAGUUUUUCAAAUCAAAUUAGCGCUGAUGGUGACAAUAAAUAUUAUUAUUAAUUUAUUUAUUUUCGACGGUAUGUCUGGAGUACAGAUAGGUACCCUAGCGGUUGUUUAUAAAAUAUCGUGUUUUAAUUUUGAAUUGAUAAGUAGGUUAAAUUAUGACUAGUCGCUUGAUAAUUCAAUAUGAAUUGAAGAUUUAUGUGUCAACUUAACCCAGUUUAACUGGGUAAUACUCAGUUUCUAGAUUUCAAUAAUUUCGCUCUUGAAUAAACGUGUCCAAUUCAUUGAUUUUAUUCUUUUUUCUUACGCACUUUUCUUUGAAUUGGCUAUCUUGCAUGCGACCUUGUUUGUUGCAAAUAGUGCGCGCAGUAGGUAUUACCGUAUGCCGCCGUUGAUUCCGCAGUUUUGUGCCGGUGUCUAGUUGGGUUGGACGUGUUUCUCACGGCUUUUAUCGUUGUAUUUUGAGUUUGUAAUUCGGUAAAUUGCGUUCAUUUUGAUUGUCCAUCGACUGCAUUUAGUUAUUACUGACGGGUGUUUAGUGUUUUAUUUUUAGAUAAUCGGAUGUCAAAUAUACCUACAAAAUCGUUAAUUUUCUUUCCGUUUGUGGUGCGUAUUGCAAGAUGGCCGCAUGCUAUCAACUUGUUUACAGUGCACGCUCGCGAGAUACAGGUAGCAUGAACCUGCAACUUCUUGCAACAUGCGUUGUGAUAUUAUUUCUUUUAAUCGCGGCCUAUCUGUGUCGUUGUGUUUGGUAUUUUGCUCCGGGGACAUGGACAACAUUCCUCAUUGAAGCCGUGAAAGAAUGUUCUUGGUGAAUUCUGCACCAAAUAUUUACCCGAGGGUCAUCUUCUGGCGCUUUUCGUUUUUCAAGGGAUUUUGAACCCAGUCUGACAUCGUAGAAGGAUCAUUCUUGUAUCAGAUGGGAUUUUGCACCCGAGUCUGACACCGUAGAAGGACCAUUUUUGUAUCAGAUGGGAUUUUGCUCCCGAGUCUGACAUCGUAGAAGGUUCAUUUUUGCAUCAGAAUGGAUUUUUCACCUGAGUCCGACAUCGUGGUAGGACCAUUCUUGCAUGAGAUUGAUUUUGCACCUGAGUCUGACAUCGCGGAAGGACCAUUCUUGCAUGAGAAUGGAUUUUGCACCUGAGUAUGACAUCGUGGAAGGACCAUUCUUGCAGGAGAUUGUAUUUUGCACCUGAGUGACAUCGAAGAUGGACCAUUCUUGCAUCAGAAUGUAUCUUAAAUAACUUUAGUGAUUAUUACACAAAUUGACUUCCAAAAUGUAUGCUUGUGUGUUUUCUUUAGUAAAGAAUAUUUUUUAAGUUUUUUUGAUUAAAA